rnacentral:rRNA from 1 species
CCCCUAGAUGUUCUGGGCCGCACGCGCGCUACACUGAACAGUUCAACAAGUCUUAACCUUGGCCGAUAGGUCUGGGUAAUCUUUGAACGCUGUUCGUGAUUGGGAUAGACCUUUGCAAUUAUGGGUCUUCAACGAGGAAUUCCUAGUAAACGCAAGUCAUCAGCUUGCCUUGAUUACGUCCCUGCCCUUUGUACACACCGCCCGUCGCACCUACCGAUUGAAUGGUCCGGUGAAAUCUCGGGACGGCGGCUUGGUCGCUUGCGUCCGACUGCUGAAACUUGAUUAAACCAUAUCAUUUAGAGGAAGGUGAAGUCGUAACA